GCGUGAGUGAAGAAGGCCUUAGGGUUGUAAAGCUCUUUCAGAUGGGAAGAUAAUGACGGUACCAUCAGAAGAAGCCCCGGCUAACUCCGUGCCAGCAGCCGCGGUAAUACGGAGGGGGCUAGCGUUAUUCGGAAUUACUGGGCGUAAAGCGCGCGUAGGCGGUUUUCCAAGUUGGGGGUGAAAUCCCGGGGCUCAACUCCGGAACUGCCCUCAAAACUGGAUGACUAGAGGUCGAGAGAGGUAAGGGGAAUUCCUAGUGUAGAGGUGAAAUUCGU
rnacentral:rRNA from 1 species